rnacentral:rRNA from 1 species
GAUGAACGCUGGCGGCGUGCCUAAUACAUGCAAGUCGAGCGAACAGACGAGGAGCUUGCUCCUCUGACGUUAGCGGCGGACGUGUGUGUCACACGUGGAUAACCUACCUAUAAGACUGGGAUAACUUCGGGAAACCGGAGAUAACACCGGAUAAUAUCUUGAACCGCAGGGUUCAAUGGUGAAAGACGGUUUUGCUGUCACUUAUAGAUGGAUCCGCGCCGCAUUAGCUAGUUGGUAAGGUCACGGCUUACCAAGGCAACGAUGCGUAGCCGACCUGAGAGGGUGGUCGCCCACACUGGAACGGAGACGCGGACCAGACUCCUACGGGAGGCAGCAGUAGGGAAUCGUACGCAAUGGGCGAAAGCCUGACGGAGCAACGCCGCGUGAGUGAUGAAGGUCUUGCGAUCGUAAAACUCUGUUAUUAGUGAAGAACAAAUGUGUAAGUAACUAUGCACUGCUUGACGGUACCUAAUCAGAAAGCCACGGCUAACUACGUG